rnacentral:rRNA from 1 species
CACCCCGACUUUUGGAGGGGUGUAUUUAUUAGAUAAAAAACCAAUGCCCUUCGGGGCUCCUUGGUGAUUCAUAAUAACUUAACGAAUCGCAUGGCCUUGUGCCGGCGAUGGUUCAUUCAAAUUUCUGCCCUAUCAACUUUCGAUGGUUAGGUCUUGGCUAACCAUGGUUUCAACGGGUAACGGGGAAUUAGGGUUCUAUUCCGGAGAGUGAGCCUGAGAAACGGCUAACACAUCCAAGGAAGGCAGCAGGCGCGCAAAUUACCCAAUCCCGACACGGGGAGGUAGUGACAAUAAAUACUGAUCCAGGGCUCUUUUGGGUCUUGGAAUUGGAAUGAGUACAAUUUAAAUCCCUUAACGAGGAACAAUUGGAGGGCAAGUCUGGUGCCAGCAGCCGCGGUAAUUCCAGCUCCAAUAGCGUAUAUUAAAGUUGUUGCAGUUAAAAAGCUCGUAGUUGAACCUUGGGUUUGGCUGGUCGGUCCGCCUCACCGCGUGUACUGGUCCGGCCGAAUCUUUCCUUCUGGGGAAUCGCAUGCCCUUCACUGGGUGUGUCGAGGAUCCAGGACUUUUACUUUGAAAAAAUUAGAGUGUUCAAAGCAGGCCUAUGCUCGAAUACAUUAGCAUGGAAUAAUAGAAUAGGACGUGUGGUUCUAUUUUGUUGGUUUCUAGGACCGCCGUAAUGAUUAAUAGGGAUAGUCGGGGGCAUCAGUAUUCAAUUGUCAGAGGUGAAAUUCUUGGAUUUAUUGAAGACUAACUACUGCGAAAGCAUUUGCCAAGGAUGUUUUCAUUAAUCAGUGAACGAAAGUUAGGGGAUCGAAGACGAUCAGAUACCGUCGUAGUCUUAACCAUAAACUAUGCCGACUAGGGAUCGGGCGAUGUUACUUUUUUGACUCGCUCGGCACCUUACGAGAAAUCAAA